rnacentral:rRNA from 1 species
AGAGUUUGAUCCUGGCUCAGAUUGAACGCUGGCGGCAUGCCUUACACAUGCAAGUCGAACGGCAGCACGGGGCAACCUGGUGGCGAGUGGCGAACGGGUGAGUAAUGCAUCGGAACGUGCCAUUGAGUGGGGGAUAACGUAGCGAAAGUUGCGCUAAUACCGCAUAUUCUGUGAGCAGGAAAGCAGGGGACCGCAAGGCCUUGCGCUCUUUGAGCGGCCGAUGUCAGAUUAGCUAGUUGGUGAGGUAACGGCUUACCAAGGCGACGAUCUGUAGCGGGUCUGAGAGGAUGAUCCGCCACACUGGAACUGAGACACGGUCCAGACUCCUACGGGAGGCAGCAGUGGGGAAUUUUGGACAAUGGGGGCAACCCUGAUCCAGCCAUGCCGCGUGAGUGAAGAAGGCCUUCGGGUUGUAAAGCUCUUUCGGCCGGGAAGAAAUCGCAUGGGCCAAUACCCUGUGUGGAUGACGGUACCGGAAUAAGAAGCACCGGCUAACUACGUGCCAGCAACCGCGGUAAUACGUAGGGUGCGAGCGUUAAUCGGAAUUACUGGGCGUAAAGCGUGCGCAGGCGGUUUUGUAAGACAGGCGUGGAAUCCCCGGGCUCAACCUGGGAACUGCGUUUGUGACUGCAAGGCUAGAGUACGGCAGAGGGGGGUGGAAUUCCACGUGUAGCAGUGAAAUGCGUAGAGAUGUGGAGGGACACCAAUGGCGAAGGCAGCCCCCUGGGUCGAUACUGACGCUCAUGCACGAAAGCGUGGGUAGCAAACAGGAUUAGAUACCCUGGUAGUCCACGCCCUAAACUAUGUCAACUAGGUGUUGGGUGGGUAAAACCAUUUAGUACCGUAGCUAACGCGUGAAGUUGACCGCCUGGGGAGUACGGCCGCAAGGUUAAAACUCAAAGGAAUUACGGGGACCCGCACAAGCGGUGGAUGAUGUGGAUUAAUUCGAUGCAACGCGAAAAACCUUACCUACCCUUGACAUGCCAGGAACUUGCCAGAGAUGGCUUGGUGCCCGAAAGGGAGCCUGGACACAGGUGCUGCAUGGCUGUCGUCAGCUCGUGUCGUGAGAUGUUGGGUUAAGUCCCGCAACGAGCGCAACCCUUGUCGUUAAUUGCCAUCAUUUAGUUGAGCACUUUAGCGAGACUGCCGGUGACAAACCGGAGGAAGGUGGGGAUGACGUCAAGUCCUCAUGGCCCUUAUGGGUAGGGCUUCACACGUCAUACAAUGGUCGGUACAAAGGGUCGCCAAGCCGCGAGGUGGAGCCAAUCCCAGAAAGCCGAUCGUAGUCCGGAUUGCAGGCUGCAACUCGCCUGCAUGAAGUCGGAAUCGCUAGUAAUCGUGGAUCAGCAUGUCACGGUGAAUACGUUCCCGGGUCUUGUACACACCGCCCGUCACACCAUGGGAGCGGGUUCCGCCAGAAGUAGGUAGCCUAACCGCAAGGAGGGCGCUUACCACGGCGGGGUUCGUGACUGGGGUGAAGUCGUAACAAGGUAGCCGUAGGGGAACCUGCGGCUG